rnacentral:rRNA from 1 species
GAUGAACGCUGGCGGCGUGCCUAAUACAUGCAAGUCGAGCGAACAGACGGGGAGCUUGCUCCUCUGACGUUAGCGGCGGACGGGUGAGUAACACGUGGAUAACCUACCUAUAAGACUGGGAUACCUUCGGGAAACCGGAGCUACUACCGGAUAAUAUAUUGAACCGCAUGGUUCAAUAGUGAAAGUCGGUUUUGCUGUCACUUAUAGAUGGCUCCGCGCCGCAUUAGCUAGUUGGUAAGGUAACGGCUUACCAAGGCGACGAUGGGUACCCGACCUGAGAGGGUGAUUGGCCAGACUGGAACUGAGACAGGGUCCAGACUCUUACGGGAGGAAGCGGUAGGGAAUCUUCCGCAAUGGGCGAGAGCCUGAUGGAGCAAAGCGGCGUAAGUGAUGAAGGAGUUCGGAUGGGAAAACUCUGUUAGUAGGAAAGUACAAAUGUGUAAGUAACUAUGAACGUCUUGACGGUACCUAAUGAAAAAGCCACGGCUAACUACGUG